rnacentral:lncRNA from 1 species
AUGACCAGUUGGAGCGAGCGUUUGACAGUGAAAUUGAUUAAUCUAGAUUGUUACUCAUCAUGCAUGUGUUGUUGACAUCUAGAUGCCAAUAUGUCACAUUAAGAUCAAACAUUUGUUACUCAUAGUUAUAAUACAUUCGACUUUUGUCUGACGUAAGAUCAAGAAACUAUCUUCGGAAAUAUCACUAAUUCAUUAUAGACGGUGAUCUCAAGAGACAAACUGCAUUCUACCAACCUACUGGGCCCUUCAUUAGACUUCAGUAUUUCUAUAACUUUUGAAGCAUAUGUAGGAUUCUUCUCAUCCUUUCUACCCCCAGGUGCGCUGGUUGUCUUUGAUCAAAGGUUCUUUAUUUUCUGAAAAAUGCGAUUUAAUGAUGACCUAUGCAGCUGCAUUGCAUACAUAGAAUCUGAAUCUCAUUUUACGCUUAUUAUAAAUUGUGUUUAUAAAAUGUUAGUUUAUAUGAGUAAUAACUAGGGCACGAAACGAAAUCACCACUAUUUGGUCUUUCCCCAAACAGUGGGCCUAUGGCUUUAACAUUUAUGGUUUUAAUGUGUUAUAAAUACUUUGGUAAUAUCAUAAACUUGUGUAUUUAUUAUGGUAAUAUGCCC